UGAACGCUGGCGGCGUGCUUAACACAUGCAAGUCGAACGAGAACGGUCCUUCGGGAUGUCAGCUAAGUGGCGGACGGGUGAGUAAUGUAUAGUUAAUCUGCCCUUUAGAGGGGGAUAACAGUUGGAAACGACUGCUAAUACCCCAUACUCCUUUUACCUUAAUGGUAAAUGGGAAACGUUUUUUCGCUAAAGGAUGAGACUAUAUGGUAUCAGGUAGUUGGUGGGGUAAGAGCCUACCAAGCCAAUGACGCCUAGCUGGUCUGAGAGGAUGAUCAGCCACACUGGAACUGAGACACGGUCCAGACUCCUACGGGAGGCAGCAGUGGGGAAUAUUGCACAAUGGAGGAAACUCUGAUGCAGCAACGCCGCGUGGAGGAUGACGCAUUUCGGUGUGUAAACUCCUUUUAUAUGGGAAGAUAAUGACGGUACUAUAUGAAUAAGCACCGGCUAACUCC
rnacentral:rRNA from 1 species